CAUGACGUUAAUUUUCCGUUAACG
rnacentral:siRNA from 1 species